rnacentral:rRNA from 1 species
CCCUACUGCUAUCGGGGUGGGACUAAGACAUGCUAGUCGAGCGCCUUGAGCUAUGGCGAGGCGCGGCGUACAGCUCAGUAACACGUGGCUAACCUACCCUUAGGACGGAGACAACCCCGGGAAACUGGGGCUAAUAUCUGAUAGGUGAGGAGGCCUGGAAUGGUUCUUCGCUGAAAAGGCGUUGAAACCAUGCUUUUCAGCGUUGCCUAAGGAUGGGGCCGCGUCCGAUCAGGUUGUUGGUGGGGUAACGGCUCACCAAGCCUAUAACCGGUACGGGCCGUGAGAGCGGGAGCCCGGAGAUGGGCACUGAGACAAGGGCCCAGGCCCUACGGGGCGCAGCAGUCGCGAAAACUCCGCAAUGCGCGAAAGCGUGACGGGGCUACCCCGAGUGCCGUCCGCUGAGGAUGGCUUUUCCCCGGUGUAAUGAGCCGGGGGAAUAAGGAGAGGGCAAGUCUGGUGUCAGCCGCCGCGGUAAUACCAGCUCUCCGAGUGGUAGGGACGAUUAUUGGGCUUAAAGCGUCCGUAGCCGGCUUAGCAAGUCUUCUGUUAAAUUCAGCGACCUAAUCGUUGAGCCGCGGGAGAUACUACUAGGCUAGGAGGCGGGAGAGGCCGACGGUAUUCUCGGGGUAGGGGUGAAAUCCUAUAAUCCCGGGAGGACCACCAGUGGCGAAGGCUGUCGGCUAGAACGCGCUCGACGGUGAGGGACGAAAGCUGGGGGAGCGAACCGGAUUAGAUACCCGGGUAGUCCCAGCUGUAAACGAUGCGGGCUAGGUGUUGGGGUGGCUACGAGCCACUUCAGUGCCGCAGGGAAGCCAUUAAGCCCGCCGCCUGGGGAGUACGGCCGCAAGGCUGAAACUUAAAGGAAUUGGCGGGGGAGCACCACAAGGCGUGAAGCUUGCGGUUC